rnacentral:rRNA from 1 species
UACGUAGGGUGCGAGCGUUGUCCGGAAUUAUUGGGCGUAAAGGGCUCGUAGGCGGUUUGUCGCGUCGGGAGUGAAAACUCAGGGCUUAACCCUGAGCCUGCUUCCGAUACGGGCAGACUAGAGGUAUGCAGGGGAGAAUGGAAUUCCUGGUGUAGCGGUGAAAUGCGCAGAUAUCAGGAGGAACACCAGUGGCGAAGGCGGUUCUCUGGGCAUUACCUGACGCUGAGGAGCGAAAGCAUGGGUAGCGAACAGG